GGGUGAGUAACACGUGGAUAACCUACCUAUAAGACUGGGAUAACUUCGGGAAACCGGAGCUAAUACCGGAUAAUAUUUUGAACCGCAUGGUUCAAAAGUGAAAGACGGUCUUGCUGUCACUUAUAGAUGGAUCCGCGCUGCAUUAGCUAGUUUGUAAGGUAACGGCUUACCAAGGCAACGAUGCAUAGCCGACCUGAGAGGGUGAUCGGCCACACUGGAACUGAGACACGGUCCAG
rnacentral:rRNA from 1 species